rnacentral:rRNA from 1 species
UACGGAAGGUCCGGGCGUUAUCCGGAUUUAUUGGGUUUAAAGGGAGCGUAGGCCGGAGGGUAAGCGUGUUGUGAAAUGCAGUUGCUCAACAUCUGCACUGCAGCGCGAACUGUUCUCCUUGAGUGCGCAGGAAGUAGGCGGAAUUCGUCGUGUAGCGGUGAAAUGCUUAGAUAUGACGAAGAACUCCGAUUGGGAAGCCAGCUUACUGUAGCGCCACUGACGCUGAUGCUCGAAAGUGCGGGUAUCGAACAGG